CCUACGGGAGGCAGCAGUGGGGAAUAUUGGACAAUGGGCGCAAGCCUUCCAGCAAUGCCGCGUGUGUGAAGAAGGCCUUCGGGUUGUAAAGCACUUUUAUCAGGAGCGAAAUACCACGGGUUAAUACCCUAUGGGGCUGACGGUACCUGAGGAAUAAGCACCGGCUAACUUCGUGCCAGCAGCCGCGGUAAU
rnacentral:rRNA from 1 species